UAAGACGUAGGGGACGAGCGUUGUCCGGAUUUAUUGGGCGUAAAGCGCGCGCAGGCGGCUUGGUAAGUCGGGUGUGAAAAUCCGAGGCUCAACCUCGGACGUGCACCUGAAACUGCCAGGCUAGAGGUAGGUAGGGGAGAUCGGAAUUCCUGGUGUAGCGGUGAAAUGCGCAGAUAUCAGGAGGAACACCGGUGGCGAAGGCGGAUCUCUGGGCCUUACCUGACGCUCAGGCGCGAAAGCUAGGGGAGCGAACAGGAUUAGAUACCCUGGUAGUCCUAGCUGUAAACGUUGGGUGCUAGGUGUGGGCGGUUAUCAACCCCGUCCGUGCCGAAGCUAACGCAUUAAGCACCCCGCCUGGGGAGUACGGUCGCAAGACUA
rnacentral:rRNA from 1 species